rnacentral:rRNA from 1 species
CGGGAGGCAGCAGUGGGGAAUUUUCCGCAAUGGGCGAAAGCCUGACGGAGCAAUACCGCGUGAGGGAAGACUGCCUAUGGGUUGUAAACCUCUUUUUUCAGGGAGGAAUCAAUGACGUGUACCUGAAGAAUAAGCAUCGGCUAACUCCGUGCCAGCAGCCGCGGUAAGACGGAGGAUGCAAGUGUUAUCCGGAAUCACUGGGCGUAAAGCGUCUGCAGGUGGUUUAAUAAGUCAACUGUUAAAUCUUGAGGCUCAACUUCAAAAUCGCAGUCGAAACUAUUAGACUAGAGUAUAGUAGAGGUAAAGGGAAUUUCCAGUGGAGCGGUGAAAUGCGUAGAUAUUGGAAAGAACACCGAUGGCGAAAGCACUUUACUGGGCUAUUGCUAACACUCAGAGACGAAAGCUAGGGUAGCAAAUGGGAUUAGAUACCCCAGUAGUCCUAGCCGUAAACAAUGGAUACUAGAUGUUGAACAGAUCGACCUGUGCAGUAUCAAAGCUAACGCGUUAAGUAUCCCGCCUGGGAAGUAUGCUCGCAAGAGUGANACUCAAAGGAAUUGACGG